GGGGGACGGCGGCCCUUGGGGGUGUGGGGACGGUCCGUGGAGCGAAGGGGGUUUCGGGCCCUCGGUUUGUUAUGUGCCCCGUUUGGAUGAGCCCCGGCCAGCAGGGACUCGGGAUGCUGUACUCCCAGCCCCAGUAUGCCCUCUGUCCCCUAUGGGACAGCGUUGUGUGGGGCAGCGAUGCUUGGGUGCUCCCUGGGCUGCUGGGCCGGGUGGGUCCUCGCUUUGCCUCUCCACAGCCCAGUGCUGGCCCUGCCAGCUGCAUUCAGGCACCCCGUCCUUCAGUCAGAGCAUUAGUGGGGCUGGCCGGGCAGGGGGUCCAGCUCUGCCCUCACCUCUGUGGCUGCAGCUGAAUCCCUAAAGCUUCCAUCCCGCGGUAAAUGAAUCCAGGCAGAGCAGCCAAACCCUGAGGUGGUCGCAUGGUUUGACAUCACCCCUCGCUGCUCCAUGGCAGCAGCACCGGGCACUGAGUGGGAUCCUGCCCUGUGCCCCUCAGCAGCAGCUCUUUGGGCUACAGCCUGAGGUCGCGCUGCAGGACGUGACCCUGUGUUGCCCUUGGUCCUGCUGAUAAUUGGCUUCAACGGGGAUUGUCUGCGAGGAGGAUUUGUUGUAGAGCCCGAGGUGAGGGAGGAAGCCAACACUCAGCAUCGUGGCCCUUUGUCCCUUGUCCCCAGGUGGAGGGGAGCCAGUGUGGAUGGGAGAGAUUUGUACCAUGCGCAGCGGAGCGAUGGUUUGGGGCUGAAGUCCAUCAGCAUGCUCCAGGUACCACUGCCCCUGGAUCGUGAUGGGAUCCUAUUCCGGCUCCGUUUCACCACUCUGGCUGUUGGGACUGUGUUUUGCCCCUUGUUUGGUUUCCUUUUCUGCGUGAUUUGGUCUCUGCUCUUCCACUUCCAGGAGACAACAGCCACC
rnacentral:lncRNA from 1 species